UACGAAGGGGGCUAGCGUUGUUCGGAAUUACUGGGCGUAAAGCGUGCGCAGGCGGUCUUCCAAGUCAGUGGUGAAAGCCCGGAGCUCAACUCCGGAACUGCCAUUGAAACUGUGAGGCUUGAGGACGAGAGAGGUGAGUGGAAUUCCCAGUGUAGAGGUGAAAUUCGUAGAUAUCAGGAGGAACACCUGCGGUGUAGACAGCUUUCUGGACCACUUCUGACGCUGAGACACGAAAGCGUGGGUAGCAAACAGG
rnacentral:rRNA from 1 species